UACGUAGGGGGGCUAGCGUUGUCCGGAAUCAUUGGGCGUAAAGCGCGUGUAGGCGGUUCGGUAAGUCCGCUGUGAAAGUCGGGGGGCUCAACCCUCGGAUGCCGGUGGAUACUGUCGGGCUUGAGUACGGAAGAGGCGAGUGGAAUUCCUGGUGUAGCGGUGAAAUGCGCAGAUAUCAGGAGGAACACCGAUGGCGAAGGCAGAUCUCUGGGCCGUAACUGACGCUGAGGAGCGAAAGCAUGGGGAGCGAACAGG
rnacentral:rRNA from 1 species